GCACAGAUUCUCUCCUCUUGCCAAGCUGUCACUGACAGAGUAUUCUGAUCCUAAGUAAAAGCAGAGCAUGUUUACUAAGGCCUCCACAUGUGGAAGAUUCUGGACUUUAACAUUUUGAUCCAAACCUGUGAGACUGGCCAAUGUAGCUGAUUCUCUCAUGUGACAUUUCCGUGUAGAAAGCACACCUAUGGCAAAAGUUGACCCGCAUUUGUAUUAAUGAUUAACCUCUCUCAAUUUUCAUAUUCCUAUAAAUUUUUCCUGGUUGUCUUUUAAUAGCUUGUAAAACAUCUAGUGCUUUAAGCAUAUUCUUUUCCAGUUUCCUAAGGUAACAUUAGAUGGUGGGUUGUCUACAUUCUCUAAUAUGC
rnacentral:lncRNA from 1 species